CAGAACAUCAACAUAAAGGCAGCUCUCGGUUGACGGUUGGAAUCCUCUCUCUUCCUUUAUAUAAUUUGAUCACUUAUCACUAUUAUCACCUUGAACACAAUUUUGAGGAUAUAAGGAAAAAUUAACAAUAGUUUUAAAUAUUUUGAUUUUAUACACAUGAGAAAGAAAUUAAAUAUAUUAUAUAUGCAUAUUGUGUGUAUAUUGCUGUGAACUAAGCAAUACAGUUUUUUGCCUACGUAGAAAAGCGUCGCCUCUUGAUAAGUUGACAGUACCCUCAUUGACAUUCGUUAAACAA